GUGAAUCAUCAAAUUUUUGAACGCAAAUUGCACUCUCUUCGGAGAGUAUGCCUGUUUGAGGGUCAGCCUAAAAAAAAUCGACGUAGUCGCUAUUUCGCGGUGACAUUCGUCGGAAAUUGGGUCAUCUUAAACCUUUGGGUUUUUUAAGCGGCUUAAAUUUUUUUUUAGGAUUCAACGAACGUUUCUAAGAUUUUAUUUCUAAAAAC
rnacentral:misc_RNA from 1 species